ensembl:lincRNA Gm28563 predicted gene 28563
GGCUUCUGCUUCACACUGUAAAGAUGGCAACGGUUCUGCAACACAGACAGUCAGGAUGUCUCCUGGGAGGAAGAAGAGCCUACAGAGGGGCGACUUCUAAGACAUCGAGGGGAAAAAGAACAGAGAAAAGGUGUUAUCCCAGAGCAAAAACCUGCCUGCGAAAACUCUCCAAGACCCUGUGUCUCGGGCAUUAAACUAUUAGAACCGUCAA